GGUGAAAGUGUUUGGAGACGGGAACCUGCGUGUAGCAGUCGCUGGUCAGCGGUGGACCUUCAGCCCCUCCUGCCUGGUGGCCUACCGGCCCGAGGAGGAUGCCAACCUGGACGUGGCCGAGCGCGCCCGGGAGAACAAAAGCUCACUGAGCGUGGCCCUGGACAAGCUUCGGGCCCAGAAGAGUGACCCAGAGCACCCGGGAAGGCUGGUGGUGGAGGUGGCGCUGGGUAACGCAGCCCGGGCUCUGGACCUGCUGCGGAGGCGCCCAGAGCAGGUGGACACCAAGAACCAAGGCAGGACCGCUCUGCAAGUGGCUGCCUACCUGGGCCAGGUGGAGUUGAUACGGCUGCUGCUACAAGCCAGGGCGGGCGUGGACCUGCCGGACGACGAGGGCAACACGGCACUGCACUACGCGGCCCUGGGGUGAGGCCUGGGAGGGGCCCGGCCGGCGGGGCUGAGCCUGUGCGUCCUGGGGUGAGGCCUGGGAGGGGCCCGGCCGGCGGGGCUGAGCCUGUGCGUCCUGGGGUGAGGCCUGGGAGGGGCCCGGCGGGGCUGAGCCUGUGCGUCCUGGGGUCGGGCCUGGCGGGGCUGAGCCUGUGCGUCCAGCCACCGGGCCCGGCGCCCUCCCUCUCCCACUUCCUCUCCUGUCAGGAACCAGCCCGAGGCCACCAGGGUGCUCCUGAGUGCUGGGUGCCGGGCGGACGCCAUCAACAGCACCCAGAGCACAGCACUGCACGUGGCCGUGCAGAGGGGCUUCCUGGAGGUGGUGCGGGCCCUGUGUGAGCGCGGCUGUGACGUCAACCUGCCCGUGAGUGCUGCUCCCUGGCCUGGGUGCCCCCUGCCCGUGAGUGCUUGUCCCUGGCCUGGGUUCCCUCUGCCCAUGUGUGCUGCUCCCUGGCCUGGGUGCCCCCUGCCCGUGAGUGCUGCUCCCUGGGUGCCCUGGCUCUUGACCCAAGCAGAAGUCACCCCCAGGUGACCACUGACUCCGCCCCAGCAGGACGCCCACUCGGACACGCCCCUGCACUCCGCCAUCUCGGCGGGCACUGGAGCCAGCGGCAUUGUCGAGGUCCUCACGGAGGUGCCAAACAUCGAUGUUACCGCCACCAACAGCCAGGGUUUCACCCUGCUGCACCAUGCCUCCCUCAAGGGUCACGCGCUGUGAGUGUGGGGUGGGCACACAGCUGCAGCCGGCCUCUUGCUGUGCUGCCUGGGGGCAGUCCCAGGUCCCAGACCAACCUCCCUGCUCCACAGAGCUGUGAGAAAGAUUCUGGCUCGGGCGCGGCAGCUGGUGGACGCCAAGAAGGAGGACGGCUUCACGGCGCUGCAUCUGGCUGCCCUCAACAACCACCGCGAGGUGGCCCAGAUCCUCAUCCGGGAGGGCCGCUGUGACGUGAACGUGCGCAACCGGAAGCUGCAGUCCCCGCUGCAUCUCGCCGUGCAACAGGCCCACGUGGGGCUGGUGCCGCUACUGGUGGACGCUGGGUGCAGUGUCAACGCCGAGGACGAGGAGGGGGACACAGCCCUGCACGUGGCGCUGCAGCGUCAUCAGCUGCUGCCCCUGGUGGCUGAUGGGGCCGGGGGGGACCCAG
rnacentral:lncRNA from 1 species